ACAGACAGGUUGAGAGCUCUUUCUCGAUUCAGUGGUUGGUGGUGCAUGGCCGUUCUUAGUUCGUGGAGCGAUCUGUCUGGUUAAUUCCGAUAACGAACGAGACUCUUGCCUGCUAAAUAGACGGCGUCGACAUAGCGCGGCGACCGUUCGCUUCUUAGAGGGACAAGCGGCGUUUAGCCGCGUGAAGCAGAGAGCAAUAACAGGUCAGUGAUGCCCUCAGAUGUUCGGGGCCGCACGCGCGCUACACUGUCUGCAUCAGCGUGUUUUUCCCGCGCCGGCUGGCGCGGGCAACCCGUUGAACCGCAGACGUGAUUGGGAUCGGAGCUUGCAAUUGUUCUCCGUGAACGAGGAAUUCCUUGUACUGGCGAGUCAUCAGCUCGCGGGGAAUCCGUCCCUGCCCUUUGUACACACCGCCCGUCGCUACUACCGAUUGAGUGGUUUAGUGAGGCGCACGGACGGCGAGCGACAUACGGCGCUUUCGGGCGGCGCGUCGCGAGCGGAAAGUGCGACGAACUUGAUCACUUCUAGGAAGUAAAA
rnacentral:rRNA from 1 species